rnacentral:lncRNA from 1 species
GCUGGCUGUGCACGGUGACGGCGUUUCAGUCUUGUUCAGCUCUCGCUCAGUCUGGAUCCUGUGGCAGCGCACGGUUAUUCGCAGAAAUGCAUGCAAUUCAUGUCCAGGGAGAGGUCUCUGAGUUUGCUGUCUCUCCCCGGAGGGUCACCUGUGUCAGGGAGCCUGGGCUUGUGUAUCGCUACGUGUGACAACACAGCAUUAGGGUGUUUUCCAAUGAGUCAGCUAUUCGCAUCAGGUGGCCAAAGUUUUGCAGCUUCAGCAUCAGUCCUUCCAGUGAGUAUUCAGAGUUCAUUUCCUUUAGGAUUGGCCGGGUUCUCCUUACAGUCCAGGGGAUUCUAAAGGGUCAUCUCUCUAGCACCACAAUUCGAAAGCAUCACUCAGUCUUCUUAAAGAUGCAACUCACACAUCGGUACACGACUAUUGGAAAGACCAUAGUUUUGACUCUGCAGACCUGUGUCACCAAAGUGAUGUCUCUGCUUUUUAAUAUGCUGUCUAGGUUCGUCAUGGGCUUCCCUGGGGGCUCAGUGGUAGAUAAUCUGUCUGCAAUGCAGGGGAAUUAGGACACCUGGGUUCAAUUCCUGGGUCGGGAAGGUUCCCUGGAGGAGGGCAUGGCAACCCACUCCAGUAUCCUCGCCUGGAGAAUCCCCUGGACAGAGGAGCCUGGCGGGCCUUGGUCCAUGGGGUCGUAAAGAGUACACCGAGAGACAUCACCUCCCAAACAGAAUCUCUGGCCAAUGGGCUGUCUCUCUAGCUUUACUCAUCUCAAGUAAAAUCUGUUCCCUCACCUCAGAAGCCACGUGAGAUGACGAAGGAAAUUGAGGCAGCGAUUUGGUGCGAGAUCUGUAUUCGUUUGGGCCAAGUGGUUGCAGGGAAUGAAAUGGGGUAGGGUGAUGAAGGAAAUGAAAUGAUGAAUUUAUUGCCCCUGCCUCCCAGGUAGCUAACUUCAGUAGGGCUGGCUGGUGUCAAUACCUUGUGUAUAUGCUCACUUGUAACAACAUCCUGUGUGUGGUAUGAGCAACUUGGUGGGCAAAUCAGACAGCAUGGCCAAAUAUUCCUUUCUUAGAGUGGAUGGAGGGAGAAGAGAGAAAAGAGUGAUGAACCAUGGGCUAGUUGAGAGUCACGUUCUAAUAUCUCAGUAUUUCUUCACAAGGUGUGUGUGUGAAUUCUUUUGUUAAUCUGAGAAUUGGCUUUCUAGGUGAGGAAAUAUCAUCGUGAGACUCCUUGUGACAUGUGAAAAGAGGUUGGGAGUGAAUUGGAUUAAGGUCAUUUUCCAAGUGUUUCACACCAACUGUUUAUUUAAGGGGACAGCAGGGGCCUAAAGGAACUGAACUGAGUGGUU